UCUGACUUUCUGCACUAAACUUUGGUGGUUCUGCCCAGUCAGAGAGCUGAAAGGGAUUUGAAGAUGACUUAGUCAUAUGACUUCAUGAGGACCCUGGGGCUAGAGAGACUGUGACAUAGCUCUCAGUCACACACAGCUGGUUGGUGGCAGAAUUGGAGCCAGAGCUGGCCGUCUUCUGACCAUGGAGCGUUAAUGCCUCAUGAGGUUGAAUGAGGCCAGAAAUAAGGAAAUGGGAAUGUAGGACCCAGAAAUGAUGUGGGAAAAUCGUCCAUACUUUAUUAGCAGUAUUAGCAGCAAAGGAGAUGCAAUCAGAUUUGCAUUUUAUUUUAUUUUAGUUUUUAGAUUUGCAUUUUGGAAACAUCUCUCUAGCAUGGCAUAAAGAAUGGAUUGAAAGGAGCAAACAGAUCUUACAAGAGCCCUAAUGAAGUUGCUAUCACCUGCCUAUUGCAAAUUAAAAAAAAGAAAACUGAGGGAAGGUCUUCUUCAGGUGACUGCUCAUCAUGCACAGGCGGGUGAUAUUGAGGACCAUGACAACGGUGAAGGCCAC